AUGAGGGGAGGGGCUAGGGGGCCAGUGGGUUAGACAAAGAAGGAAACUGUGCCUUGGCCAGAUCCACGCCAAUUAUGUCUGAAUAAACGCAUCCACAGUGCGAGCUAAAGAGCCUUCCUUCCCUCACCCCACUCCGUUUUAUUUAUUUUUAUCUUGGUCUGGAAAGUUGGACAUAUUUCCUGUACCGUCCUGGUACCCAGAUGGCCUGUUUGAGUAAGCAGUGGGGAAGAAGGUCAAUAAUACAUCAGCAUGCAGAGUCUCCGCUAAGGUUUUCCUGAGAUUCUUCUGGGCUCAGAGGUGGGACUGGGGGUCACAGCAGGCAUCCUUGUAGGAAUGACAGCAGAAGGGCAGAAACCACCCACGUGAGGAAGCACGGGCUAAUAAGAGCAGUUACCAGCAUUUUUGGAACAAAGCAGACGGAAGCUGGGAUAGGAGGAAAGAAGAGGACAGAAGCAGAGACAGAGUUCUAAUGAGACAUUUCACCAAGAUUUAUGAAGGGGUCCCAAAUUGGAUGGGUGUUUCCAGUGGCAUGCUCUUACAGACAGACCUGUUAAUUUCCAGUUUACCUUCUCCUACCUGCCAUCUGUAGGCUCCUUCUUGAGCAAACUACAGUGCGAGGUGAUCUGGGGACUAUUGUACAUGAAGCCAUGCAGCUUUGUCUGAAAGAUACCUACUCAAGUAAGUUUUAAUUUUGCAACUCUUUUGGUUAAGCUAAUUUUUUAAAAUUACAAAAAACACUAAGUAUUAUGCAAAUGUUUACAAAGCAAUGACUUUCUUAGGAAAUUAAACACAACUUUUGGCACUUUACAUAUAAGACAACAUUUUGUGGAGAAUAAAGGAGUCUAUAACACCGCUUUUAUAUAACUGAGCAAUCAAAAUGUAUGAAUAUAAAAUUUAAAAAAUUGAAUGAGUCCACUCUGUGAAAAUAAGGCUUUAAAAUCAGUUGGAAUUAAUGUAACCUGAACUUUCAUUUUAAAUACAUGGCAUAAAAUUUAAUUUUAAAAUACUCAAUUAUUAUAAUGUGCCCUCUAAGGAUGGAAGAGAAAUAGUAUCUUUUCUAAAGUGUUCAUUAUAAUAAUUAUGAAAGGAUUUUAAAAAUACAGAACACUGGAAAAAAUGUAUGAGAAAAGAAAUAAAAGUCACCAAAUGCUAUCAUCUAAAGAUAGAAUAUUAAUAUUUAACAAACUGUAUUCUACCAUUUUUCUAAUACCAUCAUGUUCAAAGCAGCCUUAAUUUAGUUUCUAAAAUAGUAACAGAAUGUUUGAUACCUGGGGCUACUUUUUAACUGUGUGUUUCUAACAUUAUACAUUUUUCCUUAUAUUUGAAGUGUUUAAUAGUGCUCACAUUGCUUUCUAGCACCUCUGGAUGAGCCCUGUGAGAAAGCUCUCCAACACAGGGGAGGGAAUGAGGCUCUGACAAGCACAGCAAGCACACACGGCCUGGACACGCUGCCGAGGAGCCUCUGCUUUUAACCCUCCAGGCUUUCCAGAUACUUUCCUGAGUGAACUUUUGGUGUCCCCUUUCAUAAUAUAAGCUCCAGAAAGCGGAAGUUCAAUUAAACCAGAAAAACCUGUUUAAUUGAAGCCAACCAUUGUUUAUUGAACACUGAUUGGUGGAAAGCACUGUGGUAAGUGUUGAGGAAACAAGCUUGGUAAGACACAGUCUGUGCCUUAUGUUUGCUUCCCACUCUCAUCAGUCUUGACCAGGGAUUGGCAAAUGUUUUCUUAAAGGUUCAGAUAGUAAAUAUUUUAGACUUGUGGGCCAUAUAGUCUCUAUCAAAACUAUUCAACUCUGCAGCUGAAGCAUGAAAGUAACCAAAAACAAUACAUGAAUGGAUGGGUGUGGUUGUGUUCCAAUAAAACUUUUUUUACCAAAAACAGAUAGCAGGCUGAAUUCAGCUUAUGGUUUGCAGACCUCUCGUCUUGACCAUUUCUGGUUAGUGCAUCAAGCCACCAGCUGAGCUUCAGUUUUUAUAUAACAGUGAUAGUCAUGAUAUGAAUUGGGAGCUUAUCAGAAUCUCUGAGCAUAAGAUUAUAACAUAAACAUCUCUCCAUCCUUUUAUUUAUUAUGCAUUAAACAAAAAACUUUCUCUGCCUACCCCUUUAAAGACUCAUUCAACCACCACUCUGCUCCAGCAGAGAAAAAGAUGUGUGUUUUGGUUUCCUCCACAAGGAAUGAUUAGGGAAAUGGUUAGAGACUUGCUGUAUAACAUUAGAGACUUGCUCAGAUAAAUAGGCCUUCACUUUAACUGUGGUAUAAAUGAAGCAGCCGAGAGAAUGACAGCAUCAUUAAUUCAAGGAAUAUUUAUUGAGCACCUACUAUGUGAAAGGUCCUGGAAUACAGGUAUUAGAGAAGUGGUAAACAAAAGACACAGGCUCUCCAUCUCUUAUAAAGCUUAGAAUCUGACUAGGAGACACACAAUCUGUACAUAAACACAAAAGAUAUAAAUGAUUAUUAAUUAAAAAAGAAAAUGAGUAAUAUGAAAGAAAUUCACAGUUUGUCAUGAGAAUAAAUAUGGAGUGAACCUAAUGAAGCUUGGAGGUCAAGGAGGAUCUGUUUAAGGAAAUGACCUUUAAACUAAGACCUGAAAAAUGGGCAGAAAUUAGGUGAAGAGUAGGCAAUGGGAAAGAUUACAGGUUAAAU
rnacentral:lncRNA from 1 species